rnacentral:rRNA from 1 species
AGUGAACGCUGGCGGUAGGCCUAACACAUGCAAGUCGAACGGCAGCACAGUAAGAGCUUGCUCUUACGGGUGGCGAGUGGCGGACGGGUGAGGAAUACAUCGGAAUCUACUUUUUCGUGGGGGAUAACGUAGGGAAACUUACGCUAAUACCGCAUACGACCUACGGGUGAAAGCAGGGGAUCUUCGGACCUUGCGCGAUUGAAUGAGCCGAUGUCGGAUUAGCUAGUUGGCGGGGUAAAGGCCCACCAAGGCGGCGACCCGUAGCUGGUCUGAGAGGAUGAUCAGCCACACUGGAACUGAGACACGGUCCAGACUCCUACGGGAGGCAGCAGUGGGGAAUAUUGGACAAUGGGCGCAAGCCUGAUCCAGCCAUACCGCGUGGGUGAAGAAGGCCUUCGGGUUGUAAAGCCCUUUUGUUGGGAAAGAAAAGCAGCAGGUUAAUACCCCGCUGUUCUGACGGUACCCAAAGAAUAAGCACCGGCUAACUUCGUG